CUGUCAAGUCGGAUGUGAAAUCCCCGGGCUCAACCUGGGAACUGCAUUCGAAACUGGCAGGCUAGAGUCUUGUAGAGGGGGGUAGAAUUCCAGGUGUAGCGGUGAAAUGCGUAGAGAUCUGGAGGAAUACCGGUGGCGAAGGCGGCCCCCUGGACAAAGACUGACGCUCAGGUGCGAAAGCGUGGGGAGCAAACAGGAUUAGAUACCCUGGUAGUCCACGCCGUAAACGAUGUCGAUUUGGAGGUUGUGCCCUUGAGGCGUGGCUUCCGGAGCUAACGCGUUAAAUCGACCGCCUGGGGAGUACGGCCGCAAGGUUAAAACUCAAAUGAAUUGACGGGGGCCCGCACAAGCGGUGGAGCAUGUGGUUUAAUUCGAUGCAACGCGAAGAACCUUACCUGGUCUUGACAUCCACAGAACUUUCCAGAGAUGGAUUGGUGCCUUCGGGAACUGUGAGACAGGUGCUGCAUGGCUGUCGUCAGCUCGUGUUGUGAAAUGUUGGGUUAAGUCCCGCAACGAGCGCAACCCUUAUCCUUUGUUGCCAGCGGUUCGGCCGGGAACUCAAAGGAGACUGCCAGUGAUAAACUGGAGGAAGGUGGGGAUGACGUCAAGUCAUCAUGGCCCUUACGACCAGGGCUACACACGUGCUACAAUGGCAUAUACAAAGAGAAGCGACCUCGCGAGAGCAAGCGGACCUCAUAAAGUAUGUCGUAGUCCGGAUUGGAGUCUGCAACUCGACUCCAUGAAGUCGGAAUCGCUAGUAAUCGUAGAUCAGAAUGCUACGGUGAAUACGUUCCCGGGCCUUGUACACACCGCCCGUCACACCAUGGGAGUGGGUUGCAAAAGAAGUAGGUAGCUUAACCUUCGGGAGGGCGCUUACCACUUUGUGAUUCAUGACUGGGGUGAAGUCGUAACAAGGUAACCGUAGGGGAACCUGCGGUUGGAUCACCUCCUU
rnacentral:rRNA from 1 species